rnacentral:rRNA from 1 species
AUUGAACGCUGGCGGCAUGCCUUACACAUGCAAGUCGAACGGCAGCACGGGAGCAAUCCUAGUGGCGAGUGGCGAACGGGUGAGUAAAGUAUCGGAACGUGCCCAGUCGUGGGGGAUAACGUAGCGAAAGUUACGCUAAUACCGCAUACGAUCUAGGGAUGAAAGCGGGGGAUCGCAAGACCUCGCGCGAUUGGAGCGGCCGAUAUUAGAUUAGGUAGUUGGUGGGGUAAAGGCUCACCAAGCCGACGAUCUGUAGCUGGUCUGAGAGGACGACCAGCCACACUGGGACUGAGACACGGCCCAGACUCCUACGGGAGGCAGCAGUGGGGAAUUUUGGACAAUGGGCGAAAGCCUGAUCCAGCCAUGCCGCGUGCAGGAUGAAGGCCUUCGGGUUGUAAACUGCUUUUGUACGGAACGAAAAGGUUUGGCCUAAUAAGCUGAGCUCAUGACGGUACCGUAAGAAUAAGCACCGGCUAACUACGUGCCAGCCGCCGCCGUAA